rnacentral:lncRNA from 1 species
UCUUGCACCAUAGGCUUCCCCUGGAAACACGCUGAAACCUCGUGUGCUCCCAUGUCACUCAGCACCGCCCAGAAAGUCCUUUGCCAUCAUGACACCUUCCUUCCAUGCCCAGUGCUCUCCCCACUGUGCAUGGACCAGAGCUGCUUCUAGGGUUGUCUUUCAAGGAUGCCUUGUCUCACUCCAAAAAAAGCACAGUGUCUCCUACCGGACAUCUGUCCCCGCCAAUUUUUUCACCCCCUGGGCCGAGGGGUACCCACACUGAACCCUCCUGGUUCUGAGGCACUGCCUCCCCCUAAAUGCAGUCUCUGUGUCACAGGAAAAAAAAUGGUUCAGUCUAUGGCCACACAAGAAAAGUCCAGCCAAAAGGCCACUCCAUCAUCUCUCCCCCCACUCAAGAGUCUUCUCCACUUCCCUCAUAGCCUAUCCCUUCUUAUCUCAUCUCUUAUCUCUCUUCUCAUUCAGCUUCAGGAGGAUCAGCAUUUGCAAGGUGUCAAUCAUGCAAGAAAAGGGUUAAAUAUCUCAGUCUCUGCCUGUCCCAGAGCUCCGGAACUCCCACGCUGCCCUGCUGGGCAUCUUCUCGCCGCACUCCCCCCUUCUCCUCCUGGGCCGGCCGCUAUCAAAUUCAGACGCCGGCUCUCCCUCUCUCUCUCUUCCCUGGGCGGGGGGGUGGCUGCCCGAUGUCUCUUGGUGCUCCUCCACCUUCCAUCCUCAAGGGCCUCCUCACCCCCCAUCUCUGUCCAGGUCCAGGCCUACCACAUGGCUGCCCCUUCCCUGCUCAGCAGCAGCGGCUGGACGGGGGAGGGAGAUCCGACCUCUUUCCCUCGAAGUCCCUGGCAAGGUCUCCCUCGGAGACCUUGCCAGGGGCGCAGCUCUGGUUUUAACUCCUGUGUUUUCUCAGAGGAGGAUCUAAUCCUCAGUGGUCGUACCAAAUGCCAAUCUUGAGCAUCAAUUGGUGGCCUGAUGGUAGUGACCACGGCAUCCCAGAAAUCUCAUUUCCGGCCCAACCACCACAUAUGCAAAAGCCUUUUUUGCUUCUUUACCCUGGUCUUUACUAGCAGCAAUUCAAGUUGCAACACACGUCU